rnacentral:rRNA from 1 species
CCCUUAGAUGUCCGGGGCUGCACGCGCGCUACACUGAAGGAAUCAGCGUGCUAAAACCAUUGUCGAAAGGCAUUGGUAAACCCAUUAAAAUCCUACGUGAUUGGGAUCGGGAAUUGCAAUUAUUUCCCUUGAACGAGGAAUUCCCAGUAAGUGUGGGUCAUAAGCUCGCGUUGAUUACGUCCCUGCCCUUUGUACACACCGCCCGUCGCUGCCCGGGACUGAGCCGUUUCGAGAAAAGCGGGGACUGCUGCUGUCGGGGCCUUCGGGCCUUGGCUUCGGUGGAAACCGCUUUAAUCGCAGUGGCUUGAACCGGGCAAAAGUCGUANCA